UGAGGAAUAUUGGUCAAUGGGCGGAAGCCUGAACCAGCCAAGUCGCGUGAGGGAAGACGGUCCUAUGGAUUGUAAACCUCUUUUGCCAGGGAGCAAAGCCGGGCUCGCGAGCCCGGAAGGAGAGUACCCGGAGAAAAAGCAUCGGCUAACUCCGUGCCAGCAGCCGCGGUAAUACGGAGGAUGCGAGCGUUAUCCGGAUUUAUUGGGUUUAAAGGGUGCGUAGGCGGGAUCUUAAGUCAGCGGUAAAAAUGCGGGGCUCAACCCCGUAGUGCCGUUGAAACUGAGAUUCUUGAGUGGGCGAGAAGUAUGCGGAAUGCGUGGUGUAGCGGUGAAAUGCAUAGAUAUCACGCAGAACUCCGAUUGCGAAGGCAGCAUACCGGCGCCCAACUGACGCUGAGGCACGAAAGCGUGGGGAUCGAACAGG
rnacentral:rRNA from 1 species